AUUGAACGCUGGCGGCAGGCCUAACACAUGCAAGUCGAGCGGAUGAAGGGAGCUUGCUCCUGGAUUCAGCGGCGGACGGGUGAGUAAUGCCUAGGAAUCUGCCUGGUAGUGGGGGAUAACGUCCGGAAACGGGCGCUAAUACCGCAUACGUCCUGAGGGAGAAAGUGGGUGAUCUUCGGACCGCACGCUAUCAUAUGAACCUAGGUCGGGUUAGGUAGUUGGUGGGGUAAAGGCCUACCAAGGCGACGAUCCGUAACUGGUCUGAGAGGAUGAUCAGUCACACUGGAACUGAGACACGGUCCAGGACUCUACGGGAGGCAGGAGUGGGGAAUAUUGGACCAGGGGCGAAAGCCUGAUACAGGCCUGACGCGUGUGACGAAGGUCUUCGGAUUGUAAAGCACUUUAAGUGGGGAGGAAGCGCAGUAAGUUGAUACCUUGCUGUUUUGACGUUACCAACAGAAUAAGCACCGGCUAACUUCGUG
rnacentral:rRNA from 1 species